rnacentral:rRNA from 1 species
AGUGAACGCUGGCGGUAGGCCUAACACAUGCAAGUCGAACGGCAGCACAGUAAGAGCUUGCUCUUACGGGUGGCGAGUGGCGGACGGGUGAGGAAUACAUCGGAAUCUACUUUUUCGUGGGGGAUAACGUAGGGAAACUUACGCUAAUACCGCAUACGACCUACGGGUGAAAGCAGGGGAUCUUCGGACCUUGCGCGAUUGAAUGAGCCGAUGUCGGAUUAGCUAGUUGGGGGGGUAAAGGCCCACCAAGGCGACGAUCCGUAGCUGGUCUGAGAGGAUGAUCAGCCACACUGGAACUGAGACACGGUCCAGACUCCUACGGGAGGCAGCGGUGGGGAAUAUUGGACAAUGGGCGCAAGCCGGAUCCAGCCAUACCGCGUGGGUGAAGAAGGCCUUCGGGUUGUAAAGCCCUUUUGUUGGGAAAGAAAAGCAGCAGGUUAAUAACCCGCUGUUCUGACGGUACCCAAAGAAUAAGCACCGGCUAACUUCGUG